rnacentral:rRNA from 1 species
GAUGAACGCUGGCGGCGUGCCUAAUACAUGCAAGUCGAGCGAACGGACGAGAAGCUUGCUUCUCUGAUGUUAGCGGCGGACGGGUGAGUAACACGUGGAUAACCUACCUAUAAGACUGGGAUAACUUCGGGAAACCGGAGCUAAUACCGGAUGAUAUUUUGAACCGCAUGGUUCAAAAGUGAAAGACGGUCUUGCUGUCACUUAUAGAUGGAUCCGCGCUGCAUUAACUAGUUGGUAAGGUAACGGCUUACCAAGGCAACGAUGCAUAGCCGACCUGAGAGGGUGAUCGGCCACACUGGAACUGAGACACGGUCCAGACUCCUACGGGAGGCAGCAGUAGGGAAUCUUCCGCAAUGGGCGAAAGCCUGACGGAGCAACGCCGCGUGAGUGAUGAAGGUCUUCGGAUCGUAAAACUCUGUUAUUAGGGAAGAACAUAUGUGUAAGUAACUGUGCACAUCUUGACGGUACCUAAUCAGAAAGCCACGGCUAACUACGU